GAUGAACGCUAGCUACAGGCUUAACACAUGCAAGUCGAGGGGCAGCAUGGUCUUAGCUUGCUAAGGCCGAUGGCGACCGGCGCACGGGUGAGUAACGCGUAUCCAACCUUCCCCUUAGUAGAGGAUAGCCCGGCGAAAGUCGGAUUAAUACUCUAUGUUGUAUUUUGAGGACAUCUGACGAAUACCAAAGAUUUAUCGCUAAGGGAUGGGGAUGCGUCUGAUUAGGUUGUUGGCGGGGUAACGGCCCACCAAGCCCACGAUCAGUAGGGGUUCUGAGAGGAAGGUCCCCCACAUUGGAACUGAGACACGGUCCAAACUCC
rnacentral:rRNA from 1 species